rnacentral:lncRNA from 1 species
UGUAAUUUCGGAAUUUUUGAUAAAAUGUCAUUUUUGAUAAAAUUUUUUUGUAUGAUCUGGUUAGAAAUAGUAUUAGUAUGCAUUCUAAUGUUAUUGGAAAUUUUUUCGCUAUUUUUAUAGAUUUUUUCAAGGUUUUGUUCAUGUAAGGUUAAUUUUUGUAUAGGGAAAAUGGCAUUUUCACUUGUGUUGAUGAUUUUGGUGCUGAUGGCUGUGAGACGUGGCCGAGAUGGUGGUAGAGGUCAUCAUGG